rnacentral:pre_miRNA from 1 species
UUGUUACUCUCUCCGUUCCGAAUUACUUGUCGUAGGUAUGGAUGUAUCUAGAUGUAUUUUAGUUCUAGAUACAUCCAUUUCUGUGACGAGUAAUUUGAAACGGAGGGAGUACAUG